GAUGAACGCUAGCGGCAGGCCUAACACAUGCAAGUCGAGGGGUAUAGUAGCAAUACUAGAGACCGGCGCACGGGUGCGUAACGCGUAUGCAAUCUACCUUUUACAGGGGAAUAGCCCAGAGAAAUUUGGAUUAAUGCCCCAUAGUAUAUAAGAAUCGCAUGGUUUUUAUAUUAAAGUUCCAACGGUAAAAGAUGAGCAUGCGUCCCAUUAGUUAGUUGGUAAGGUAACGGCUUACCAAGACUAUGAUGGGUAGGGGUCCUGAGAGGGAGAUCCCCCACACUGGUACUGAGACACGGACCAGACUCCUACGGGAGGCAGCAGUGAGGAAUAUUGGACAAUGGGCGCAAGCCUGAUCCAGCCAUGCCGCGUGCAGGAAGACGCAUCUAUGGUGUGUAAACUGCUUUUGUACAGGAAGAAACACUCCCUCGUGAGGGAGCUUGACGGUACUGUAAGAAUAAGGAUCGGCUAACUCCGUGCCAGCAGCCGCGGUAAUACGGAGGAUCCAAGCGUUAUCCGGAAUCAUUGGGUUUAAAGGGUCCGUAGGCGGUUUAAUAAGUCAGUGGUGAAAGCCCAUCGCUCAACGAUGGAACGGCCAUUGAUACUGUUAGACUUGAAUUAUUAGGAAGUAACUAGAAUAUGUAGUGUAGCGGUGAAAUGCUUAGAUAUUACAUGGAAUACCAAUUGCGAAGGCA
rnacentral:rRNA from 1 species